rnacentral:lncRNA from 1 species
CGUUGAUCCGUUCCAAUUGCAACUUGUUCGCGCUAUUUAUUUUUGCAUUGGUUUUCGGUUUCAUUUGUUGUUGUUGUCUUUUGUGCGUGCUUCUUGUGUUUGCUGUUGCUUUGUUGUUACAUUUAAAUGUGUGUUAGUUGCAGUGCAUUUAGUUGUUCAUUGAUUGGUUCACGCUCUAAAAACGUUUCGAAUCGGAUUGGCAGAUCCACCUGAUCGAUCGAUGGGGUUCGAUGUUUGCUAUUGAAUUUUUCCAAGUUGCGGGCUUGCUUUUCUUUUCUUUUCUUUCUUCUUUUUCUUUUUUGUAGUCGGUUGUCGGAUAA